rnacentral:rRNA from 1 species
GACGAACGCUGGCGGCGUGCCUAAUACAUGCAAGUCGAACGCAGUUGGGACGGGUGAGUAACACGUGGGUAACCUCCCAUCAGAGGGGAUAACACUUGGAAACAGGUGCUAAACCGAUACUGAUGGAUGGACCCGCUGUGCAUUAGCUAGUUGGCGAGGUAACGGCUCACCAAGGCCACGAUGUAUAGUCGACCUGAGAGGUGGAUCGUCCACACUGGGACUGAGAGAGGGCCCAGAUUCCUACGGGAGGCAGCAGGAGGGAAUCUUCGGAAAUGGACGAAAAUCUGACCGAGAAACGCCGCGUGAGUGAAGAAGGUUUUCGGAUCGUAAAACUCUUUUGUUAGAGAAGCGGUAUCUAACCAGAAAGACACGGCUAACUACGUGCCAGCCGCCGCGGUAAUAC